rnacentral:rRNA from 1 species
AUGCAGUCGAGCGCCCCGCAAGGGGAGCGGCUAUACGGGUGCACUAACGCGUGGGAACGUACCUUUUGCUACCGAAUAACUCAGGGAAACUUGUGCUAAUACCGUAUGUGCCCUUCGGGGGAAAGAUUUAUCGGCAAAGGAUCGGCCCGCGUUGGAUUAGCUAGUUGGUGAGGUAAAGGCUCACCAAGGCGACGAUCCAUAGCUGGUCUGACAGGAUGAUCAGCCACACUGGGACUGAAACACGGCCCAGACUCCUACGGGAGGGAGCAGUGGGGAAUAUUGCACAAUGGGCGCAAGCCGGAUCCAGCCAUGCCGCGUGAGUGAUGAAGGCCCUAGGGUUGUAAAGCUCUUUCACCGGUGAAGAUAAUGACGGUAACCGGAGAAGAAGCCCCGGCUAACUUCGUGCCAGCAGCCGCGGUAAUACGAAGGGGGCUAGCGUUGUUCGGAUUUACUGGGCGUAAAGCGCACGUAGGCGGACUUUUAAGUCAGGGGUGAAAUCCCGGGGCUCAACCCCGGAACUGCCUUUGAUACUGGAAGUCUUGAUUAUGGUAGAGGUGAGUGGAAUUCCGAGUGUAGAGGUGAAAUUCCUAGAUAUUCGUGAGGAACACCGGUGGCGAAGGCGGCUCACUGGACCAUUACUGACGCUGAUGUGAAAGAACGUGGGUAGCAAACAGGAUUACAUACCCUGGUACUCCACGCCGUAAACGAUGAAUGUUAGCCGUUGAGGAAUUUACUCUUCUGUGGCGCAGCUAACGCAUUAAACAUUCCGCCUGGGGAGUACGCCUCGCAAGAUUAAAACUCAAAGGAAUUGACGGGGGCCCGCACAAGCGGUGGACCAUGUGAUUUAAUUCGAAGCAACGCGCAGACCCUUACCAGCCCUUGACAUACCGGUCGCGGACACAGAGAUGUGUCUUUCAAUUCAGCUGGACCGGAUACAGGUGCUGCAUGGCUGUCGUCAACUCGUGUCGAGAUAUGUUGGGUUAAGUCUCGCUACUAGCGCAACCCUCGCCCUUAGUUGUCAGCAUUUAGUUGGGCACUCUCAGGG